GAGGAGAGGAGAGGAGAGGAGAGGAGAGGAGAGGAGAGGAGAAGGGGGAACAACCUGGUUCAAUCUAGGGGCCUGAAGGUGUGCUUCUGUUAGCUGAGGUGUCACAAGGUUCCUGUCUUUGAUCAACAGUGUAGUGUCAGGAAAGUGAGGACCAUGUUAGCGUCGGGAAAGUGAGGACCGUGUUAGCGUCAGGAAAGUGAGGACCGUGUUAGCGUCAGGAAAGUGAGGACCGUGUUAGCGUCAGGAAAGUGAGGACCGUGUUAGCGUCAGGAAAGUGAGGACCGUGUUAGCGUCAGGAAAGUGAGGGCCGUGUUAGCGUCAGGAAAGUGAGGACCGUGUUAGCGUCAGGAAAGUGAGGGCCGUGUUAGCGUCAGGAAAGUGAGGACCGUGUUAGCGUCAGGAAAGUGAGGACCGUGUUAGCGUCAGGAAAGUGAGGACCGUGUUAGCGUCAGGAAAGUGAGGACCGUGUUAGCGUCAGGAAAGUGAGGACCGUCUUAGCUGUUAGCUGUUGGUUUGUCUUUGUCCUAUUAGAUUCUGGAUGGUUCCUAGAUUGCUUUUAGGUUCUUAGAAUUCAUUGCAGAGAAGGGAAAGAGGUAGUAAGGUAGAACUUAUAGUUGUCUGCUUUCUGGAUGGAGUUUAGAAGAGUGUGUCAAGGAUAGACUGUCUGAAUGACCGAUUUCCUAAGCCAUUUUGACACACACACACACACAGACACACACUACGGCGGAGACAAGGAAGACUAUGGGAUGUGGAUGAGACCAUAAAUCGCAGGGAAAGGGAGGAGAUCCUGUUGUUGCCUCCGGCCUGCCGGCCUGUCAGGGAGGAGAUCCUGUUGUUGCCUCCGGCCUGCCGGCCUGUCAGGGAGGAGAUCCAGUGUGUCCUCCGGCCUGCCGGCCUGUCAGGGAGGAGAUCCAGUGUGUCCUCCGGCCUGCCGGCCUGUCAGGGAGGAGAUCCAGUGUGUCCUCCGGCCUGCCGGCCUGUCAGGGAGGAGAUCCAGUGUGUCCUCCGGAUUGCCGGCCUGUCAGGGAGGAGAUCCUGUUGUUGCCUCCGGCCUGCCGGCCUGUCAGGGAGGAGAUCCUGUUGUUGCCUCCGGCCUGCCGGCCUGUCAGGGAGGAGAUCCAGUGUGUCCUCCGGCCUGCCGGCCUGUCAGGGAGGAGAUCCAGUGUGUCCUCCGGCCUGCCGGCCUGUCAGGGAGGAGAUCCAGUUGCCUCUCGUGAAGACAUACUUCCUUAUAUCCCCAUAUGAAUACUCCUGCUAUGGAAUGUCAGGGGCAAGAGGACGUUGUGGGACUCUGACGUCGUGGCUCACAAAAAUAUCAUCUCCACUACCCUCAUGUCUCUCUCUCUCUCUCUCUCUCUCUCUUCCUCUCUUCACCCCUCUCCUAUCUCCUUCCCUCUCUCCCU